AGAGUUUGAUCAUGGUUCAGAACGAACGCUGGCGGCAGGCUUAACACAUGCAAGUCGAGCGCUCGCAGCAAUGCGGGAGCGGCAGACGGGUGAGUAACGCGUGGGAACGUACCCUCCGGUUCGGAAUAACUCAGGGAAACUUGAGCUAAUGCCGGAUACGGCUGAGAGGCGAAAGAUUUAUCGCCGGGGGGAUCGGCCCGCGUCCGAUUAGCUAGUUGGUGGGGUAACGGCUCACCAAGGCGACGAUCGGUAGCUGGUCUGAGAGGAUGAUCAGCCACAUUGGGACUGAGACACGGCCCAAACUCCUACGGGAGGCAGCAGUGGGGAAUAUUGGACAAUGGGCGCAAGCCUGAUCCAGCCAUGCCGCGUGAGUGAUGACGGCCUUAGGGUUGUAAAGCUCUUUCGCCAGGGACGAUAAUGACGGUACCCGGAUAAGAAGCCCCGGCUAACUUCGUGCCAGCAGCCGCGGUAAUACGAAGGGGGCUAGCGUUGUUCGGAAUUACUGGGCGUAAAGCGCGUGUAGGCGGGUCUUUAAGUCAGGGGUGAAAUGCCAAGGCUCAACCUUGGAACUGCCUUUGAUACUGGAGAUCUUGAGUCCGGGAGAGGUGAGUGGAACUGCGAGUGUAGAGGUGAAAUUCGUAG
rnacentral:rRNA from 1 species